ACCAAUGUGGCAUAGCGGUUUUGGUGUUGGACUCGGACUCUGGAGGCCAGGGUUGGAAUCCCUCCUCGGCCA